CUGGGAAGCCUGUGUACUGGAGGAUUGUUGAUUAACACUGAAAGUAAUUCAUACUGCAUCAUAUUUGCUAUGUUCUGCAUUGCAUUUAUCACCAUUAUUGUAUAAUACUACAGUUCACCUAUCCUCAACAGCCUGUUCCAGUACUAUUGCUACUCCAGUGGGGGAAUGCGUCAAACCUCCUACACCUGUAUCUGUGGAACGUAAGGCACUUCCCCCCUCACUUCACAGAAUUGAAUUUAUGGUGAACAUAAUCUAUAAUUCAUGAAAUUCAUCUUCUUUUACCACUUCAAUGGGCCAUUGGCAAUGGUAAUAGCUAUGACCACUAUUCCGUUUUGAAGUCGCCUCAGCUAUCUUUACAAAGCGACAUCCCAGCUAGUGUGUUUUAUGUCUUUCUCCAUUUUGUUUACUACAAGUUACAGCAUUGCUUUCUUCUAGGACAUCCUUCAAGCCACUAUAACAGUCCCAAGCCCUCAGGUUUUCAGUUCAAAGCUCUACAGUUCAACUGUAUCAUCAGAACAUGCAGCUGGCAGUAGAGAUAACAUUUAGUCUUGACAUUUUGGAGCCCAAGCUUUACUGUACUGUUUGUGCCACUGGCAGAUCCAGUUCCUCUCUGCUGGUCCAGGACUGCUACUGCUGGUGGUGAAUAACAUCAGUAUAUUUUGGAUGAAAUGUUUUUAAGUAAAUAUGAUGAUUACAGUUUGGCCUGUGAACUAUUGUUAUAAUGAGCUUCUCUUUUUCUUAAUUUAAGAAAAAGGUAUGAGGGUGAUUUUGCAAUUUUGCACAAAUGUGGUUCUAUUUUUGUAUUUGACUCGCAUGGCCACUAUCUUGAUGAUGAUAAAUGUUUUUAUAUAUUCAACAGAGGACACAACUCAGUUCUGUACUAUGGUCAUCUAGGAGCUCCUAAUGACAAGUCUAUAGUGGAUGAUACAUGGAAACAUGAUGGAUGCAGUGCUGUCCCUGAUGUGAUCUGACCAUGGAUUCAGUCAUCAUAUAGCCUAGCCCUAGAGUGUGAUUUUCACGCCCUGACCUUAGAGAGAUGUUUUAUUUCCUCUAGUUUGUUUAGGUCAGGGUGUGAUGUGGUGUGGGCAAUCUAGUUUUUGUAUUUCUUUGUGUUUGGCCGAGUAUGGUUCCUAAUCAGAGGCAGGUGUCUAUUGUUGUCUCUGAUUGGGAAUCAUACUUAGGCAGCCCUUUAUCCCUCAUUCAGUUGGGGGAUCUUAUUUUUUCACAGCUCAGUGAAAGCCUGCAGAACG
rnacentral:lncRNA from 1 species